UACGAAGGGGGCUAGCGUUGCUCGGAAUUACUGGGCGUAAAGCGCACGUAGGCGGCUUUGUAAGUUAGAGGUGAAAGCCCAGGGCUUAACCCUGGAAUUGCCUUUAAGACUGCAUCGCUCGAAUUGUGGAGAGGUGAGUGGAAUUCCGAGUGUAGAGGUGAAAUUCGUAGAUAUUCGGAAGAACACCAGUGGCGAAGGCGACUUACUGGACACAUAUUGACGCUGAGGUGCGAAAGCGUGGGGAGCAAACAGG
rnacentral:rRNA from 1 species